rnacentral:misc_RNA from 1 species
GAUGAAGAACGUAGCGAAAUGCGAUAAGUAAUGUGAAUUGCAGAAUUCAGUGAAUCAUCGAAUCUUUGAACGCCCAUUGCGGCCGCCAGUAUUCUGGCGGGCAUGCCUGUUCGAGCGUCAUUUCAACCAUCAAGCCCCAGGCUUGUGUUGGGGACCUGCGGCUGCCGCAGGCCCUGAAAACCAGUGGCGGGCUCGCUGUCACACCGGGCGUAGUAGAUUUUAUCUCGCUCAGGGCGUGCUGCGGGUUCCGGCCGUUAAAAAGCCUUUUUUACCCAAGGUUGACCUCGGAUCAGGUAGGAAUACCCGCUGAACUUAAGCAUAUCAAUAAGCGGAGGA